GUUGGCAAAAAAAGAGCAAAGACGGACGGUUAACUUGACGUAGAAACCGUCACUUUCAUCAUAUCAGACAACUCUUAACUCUGGAUGAAAAUUAAGGCUUUCUUUUAUUGUAACUUUCCUUUGUAAACCUUUAGAAAUAACCUCCUGAAUCCUUGUUAUAACGCUGUGUAUAAUCCCGGACCGCAACAGCUUGUCGGCAUGUUGUUUGUGUGUGAAAUUCAGCACAGUAUCAGCCGAGUUUACUCUAAUUUCCACAUCGUUUACUUGCUAAUAGAGAUGUCCGAUAUUAUCGGCCCACCGAUAUUAUCGGCCCGAUAUUAGCAUAAAAAUGUAAUAUCUGGCAAUAUCGGUAUCGGAUUUUUUUUGCCUUAAAACCGAUUUUUUUUUUUUUUUUUUUUUUUUCAAAUAAAUGUUUUCAAAAUUGUGCAGUACAGUGCACAUUGUAAUUGACUCAUAUUUGUGCAUUUAUUCAAUUAAGGUUAUUGAGUUUUAGUUAAAGAAACAUACUGCUAUGUUGCACAUAGUUGUUCAGGUACAAUGUUUUAUCAUUUGUGAAGUCAAGUUUGCCCUAUUUGUUGUGGGCAUUGUCAAGAUUAUCUCAGGGAGCGUGUAAUCCAAACUGUUGCCUGAGACCAUUAAAAAAAUAAAAAUAAACAUGGCACUUUUCCCUUAAAUUAAGUUGAAGUAUUUUUCUUAUUUUGCACAGACAAUGUUAACAUUUGGAAAGCCUUGUUGCAUUCAAGAAUGCAUCCAGUGGGGCAUCACAAUAACAUUAAGCAUGUUGUGUUAAUUCCACAACAGGAGAUAUGUAAUGUUACCUAAAUUAGGUUUGAGGAAAAAUAACCCAAAUAUCGACAUCGGUAUCGGCUGAUAUCGGAAUCGAAAAUGUAGAGUUGGACAAUAUCGCAUAUCGGAUAUCGGCAAAAAAGCCAAUAUCGGACAUCCCUACUUGCUAACGUUUGUGAAUGACAGUGGCUAGUUGGCAGAACUCUUUUUACACACCAGUAGAGUGUUUAUCAGAGCGGAGCCCUGAAUGUGACGUCACCCGUCAUCUCGUCUCCGUAAACAAUGGAUGUUGCGCAGCAUUUAUUAUGACGUCAUUAUAUAGACUCUCUCUCAACCCCCCCCCCCCCCCCCUUGGACUGACUUCCCGCGUCCCUGGUGUUACCCCCUAUGUUUUAUUCGAUACAUUUCGACAGUGUUACCCCUUAUUGGUUCUUCAUGACGACAGAUAAAAAACGACAGUGUUACCCUUUACGUUUCAUUUGAUAAAAACCACAGUGUUACCACUUAUGUUAUUUUCCCAUGAUGACUGAUGAAAAACAACAGUGUUACCCCUUAUAUUAUAUUUGACAAGGACAAUUUUCUUUUUUUUUUCAAAUAUGUUUUUUUUCAUGACGAGCAAUAAAAAACGACAACGUUACCCCUUAUGUUUUUUUUCAUGACGACCAUAAAAAACAACAGUGUUACCCCUUAUCUUUUUUUUCACAACGACCUAAGAAAAACUACAGUUUCACCCCUCAUGUUUCAUGUGAUAAAAACGACAGUGUUACCCCCUAUGUUUUAUUCGAUACAUUUCGACAGUGUUACCCCUUAUGGGUUUUUAAUGACAACAGAUAAAAAAUGACAGUGUUACCCUUUACGUUUCAUUUGAUAAAAACGACAGUGUUACCCCUUAUGUUUUUUUUCAUGAAGACCAAUAAAAAACAACAGUGUUACCGCUUAUGUUUUUCUUCAUGACGACCAAAGAAAAACAACAGUGUUACCCCCUAUGUUUUAUUUGAUGAAUAUCGACAGUGUUACCCCUUAUGUUUAUUUCAUGACGGCCGAUAAAAAACGACAGUUACCCCUCAUGUUUUUUCCAUGUUGACCAAUAAAAAACGACAGUGGUACUGUCGACGUUUUUGCA
rnacentral:lncRNA from 1 species